rnacentral:tRNA from 1 species
GGAGAGAUGGCUCAAUGGUUAAGAGUACUGGCUGCUCUUCCAGAGGAUCCAGGUUCAAUUCCUAGCCCCUACA